rnacentral:lncRNA from 1 species
AAUUACUAUGCAUUGUCAGUGUAAAAUAUUUUACACAAUCGAUUCAUCACCAUCACCCGUUUGCAUUACUUUAUAGAUUUUUAAAAUAAAAAUCAAAUUCGUUUCAACAUCCAAUGACUAUGAUUAACUGAGAGUGUAAAAUCAUGUUACACUGUCUAUGUAUUUCAGUUAAAUCCAUUAAAAAAAUCAAAUAUAAAAAUUUUCAAAAAAAACAAGGG